AAGACUCCUCUCAUAUUAGCAGCUUGGAAUGGAAGCACACAGGCAGUGACAAUGCUCCUUGAAAAAGGAGCAGAUGUCACUGCCUCUGAUAAUCAUGGUUGGACUGCUCUUUAUUGGGCUGAAGGACUAGGUCAUUCUGAUACUGCUACCCUACUGAGAGUACACUCAGGUAAUGUAUUUAUUAGUUUAUUGAACUGAUGUUAUUAUACUGUAUGUAGUACUGUAUUGUUCAUGCUUUUAAGUUUGUCCA